UGAAGUCAUGAACAGCAAUUCCUUUCCUCAAGAAUGACUAGAAAAACCAGAAAGCAGGAUGAAUGUGUGUAUGGUUAUCACAUAUAGACAUAGAACAAAAUAAUCAACUGUUAUAUAUCAGUGUUCUGAUUGCCUUCAACUGGAUAACAAACCAUGCCCCAGUCAAAGGGAAUUAUUAUAGUUCAUGAUUCUGAGGGUCAGGGAUCUGGAUGGGAUUGUAGCAGGAAAAGUUCAUUUCUGCUCACAGUCAGCCUCAGCUGGGAGGACAGGAAGGGCUAGAGAAGGGGAUGAUGGCUGGGUUUCCCCCUCCUCCAUCCCACUCACAUCUUCCUAUAGUCAGCUUGGGGUUCCUCACAGCAUGGCAGCCUCAGCAGGGGUCCCACACAACUGUCCCAGAGACUAGGAGCACCUGUCAGAGGAAGAAGCCAGGACCCAGUAUCUGACAUCGCCUCACAUAUGCCAUAUCCUAUGAAUCAAAACAGAAGCUGUGCAAAGGUCAGCCACGAUCGAGAGGAGGAGACCUAGCCCCUCACCUCUCCCUGGGAGGAGCAUCCAAGUGGAAUGCACCAGUAUUCUUGCCUGGAAAAUCCCAUGGACAGAGGAGCCUGUCUGUCUACAAUCCACAGUAUUGAAAAGAGUCAGACAUGACUGAGCAAAUGAGAGUGCAUGCAUGCACCAGAGUCAUUAUGCUUCAGUAUCUAUCGAAAGAAGUAGAUUGCCAGGCCCUAUGCAGCAGCAGUGAAUUUGGAUUGUCUAUAAAGUCAUCGUCUUUAUCAAGCACCCAGGGUGAUUUUAAUGCUGGGUGACACGUUGAGAGCAACAAAGCUACAGAGAAAAAGGACAGUAAGGAGGUUCAGCUGAAGAACUACGCAGACCUUCCAGACUUCCGUGUUGUCCACCUCCAAUUCUUCUCCCAUCCAAUCAGGCCCGCGUGGUAUAAAGCACCCGUCUACAUCAGAAGCUCUGACCUCCAUCUGACGGGACAUAACAUCACGCUCCUCCCAGACCUGGAAACUGUGAGGCUUAUUGCUUCAAAAUACAGUCAUCCAUCCAAACAGAGAUACCCCAGUUUGGGCGUAGUCUGUCAGCUGUAAUUUCUACUACUUUCCUAACUUACAUUUCCUCCAGUCCAUGGAGAUAUGUGACUUAAUUCUGAGUUACAUACUUAAAAUGUGGUGGUUAUAAUUGUUCUCAGAUGAAUAAAAAAAUAUUUUUUAAGUUCAUAUAAAAAUAAACUAAUAUAAACAUAAAAAUCAUAAAUUAAAAACAACUUUAAUUUUACUCAUAAGGUAUUUUAAAAGAAAAUGUGUUGCUGUUUAGUUGCUAAGUCAUGUCCAACUCUUUUGUGGCCCCAUGGACUAUAGCCUGCCAUUCCCCUCUAUCCAUGAAAUUCUCCAGGCAAAAAAUACUGGAAUGGGUUACCAUUUCCUCCUCCAGGAAAUCUUCCCAACCCAGGGAUCGAACCUACAUCUCCUGCACUACAGGCAGAUUCUUUACUGCUGAGUCACCAGCGAAGGCCCUAAGGGAAACUACUAUUUUUAAGAAAAGAUUAGUUAAUAUUUUAAUAGCAAAUUAAAUAUGACAGAAAAACACCUUUUGAGAUAGAUACCUGGUAACAUCAGAACAAUUUUAAUUCCUAAAAUAGGCACAUGGAAUUUACAAUAAUAGAGGGCUUUGAGAAUCAUUUCAGAAUUAAUUCUGUGCCUUGGACAUUAAUUCCUUUGCCUGUCAAAAUUCAUUAAAAAUCAAUUUAGCUGCUUAUGUUUCAUCCUUGCUCCAAACCGAAAUAGAAUCUAUCAUUCAAAAUAAUUUUCACAAGUUUUAUACUGAUCAGUAUUAUUUAACAGUCCGUGAUCGUAGUUCAGACCAGGAAACACAAUUGGUUUCCUGGUCACCUCUGAACAACUAGUUAGGCAAAGAUAAUACACCAGAAGCAGCUGAUUAGAAACUCUAAGUU
ensembl:lncRNA